rnacentral:misc_RNA from 1 species
GAUGAAGAACGUAGUGAAAUGCGAUAAGUAAUGUGAAUUGCAGAAUUCAGUGAAUCAUCGAAUCUUUGAACGCACAUUGCGCCCCUUGGUAUUCCGGGGGGCAUGCCUGUUCGAGCGUCAUUUCAACCCCUCAAGCUCGGCUUGGUGUUGGGCUGCGCCAGCGUUGCUGGCGGGCCUUAAAAUCAGUGGCGGUGCCGUUUGGGCUCCAAGCGUAGUAGCAUCUCUCGCUCUGGAGACCCGGCGGUUGCUUGCCAGACAAUCACCAAAAAAACAAAGGUUUGACCUCGGAUCAGGUAGGGAUACCCGCUGAACUUAAGCAUAUCAAUAAGCGGAGGA